AGAGUCUGAACCAGCCAAGUAGCGUGAAGGAUGACUGCCCUAUGGGUUGUAAACUUCUUUUAUACGGGAAUAAAGUGAGGCACGUGUGCCUUUUUGUAUGUACCGUAUGAAUAAGGAUCGGCUAACUCCGUGCCAGCAGCCGCGGUAAUACGGAGGAUCCGAGCGUUAUCCGGAUUUAUUGGGUUUAAAGGGAGCGUAGGCGGACGCUUAAGUCAGUUGUGAAAGUUUGCGGCUCAACCGUAAAAUUGCAGUUGAUACUGGGUGUCUUGAGUACAGUAGAGGCAGGCGGAAUUCGUGGUGUAGCGGUGAAAUGCUUAGAUAUCACGAAGAACUCCGAUUGCGAAGGCAGCCUGCUGGACUGUAACUGACGCUGAUGCUCGAAAGUGUGGGUAUCAAACAGGAUUAGAUACCCUGGUAGUCCACACAGUAAACGAUGAAUACUCGCUGUUUGCGAUAUACAGUAAGCGGCCAAGCGAAAGCGUUAAGUAUUCCACCUGGGGAGUACGCCGGCAACGGUGAAACUCAAAGGAAUUGACGGGGGCCCGCACAAGCGGAGGAACAUGUGGUUUAAUUCGAUGAUACGCGAGGAACCUUACCCGGGCUUGAAUUGCAACUGAAUGAUGUGGAGACAUGUCAGCCGCAAGGCAGUUGUGAAGGUGCUGCAUGGUUGUCGUCAGCUCGUGCCGUGAGGUGUCGGCUUAAGUGCCAUAACGAGCGCAACCCUUACGGGUAGUUACCAUCAGGUUAUGCUGGGGACUCUACCCGGACUGCCGUCGUAAGAUGUGAGGAAGGUGGGGAUGACGUCAAAUCAGCACGGCCCUUACGUCCGGGGCUACACACGUGUUACAAUGGGGGGUACAGAAGGCAGCUACACGGCGACGUGAUGCUAAUCCCUAAAGCCUCUCUCAGUUCGGAUUGGAGUCUGCAACCCGACUCCAUGAAGCUGGAUUCGCUAGUAAUCGCGCAUCAGCCACGGCGCGGUGAAUACGUUCCCGGGCCUUGUACACACCGCCCGUCAAGCCAUGAAAGCCGGGGGUACCUGAAGUGCGUAACCGCGAGGAGCGCCCUAGGGUAAAACUGGUGAUUGGGGCUAAGUCGUAACAAGGUAGCCGUACCGGAAGGUGCGGCUG
rnacentral:rRNA from 1 species